UACGUAGGGGGCGAGCGUUGUCCGGAAUCAUUGGGCGUAAAGAGCGUGUAGGCGGCUUGGCAAGUCUGACGUGAAAGCCCGCGGCUCAACCGCGGAUUGUCGUUUGGAAACUGCCUCGCUAGAGUCCGGAAGAGGAGAGCGGAAUUCCUGGUGUAGCGGUGGAAUGCGCAGAUAUCAGGAAGAACACCCGUGGCGAAGGCGGCUCCUCUGGGACGGUACUGACGCUGAGACGCGAAAGCGUGGGGAGCGAACAGG
rnacentral:rRNA from 1 species